CACGUACUGUGCGAACGUUAUUCGGAAUCACUGGGCUUAAAGGGUACGUAGGCGGUUUAUCAAGUCAGAUGUGAAAAUGCCACAGUCAACUGUGGCACUGCGUUUGAAACUGAUAGACUAGAGUAUUCCAGGGGUGUGCGGAACUGCCAGUGGAGCGGUGAAAUGCGUUGAUAUUGGCAGGAACACCGGAGGCGAAGGCGGCACACUGGGGGAUAACUGACGCUGAGGUACGAAAGCCAGGGUAGCGAACGGGAUUAGAUACCCGGUAGUCC
rnacentral:rRNA from 1 species